GUCCAGAGCCCACCCUUGGAGAACCACUGGGCUAUAGAAUGAUGUCAAGGGCUGGAGAGGGAGGCUACAGAGUGGGUCUAGGUCCAGGUACAGUCUCAGAACCACACUGCAAAACUGGCUUAGUCAGGUAGCUGCUGUAUCUGCUGCUUCCACUGUGAACUCAAAAACCACAUUGCCUGUGCUGCAGGCCGGAAAGCUGCUGAACCAGGAAGCUGUGCUGAUGCUGCUGACUGCCCCUGAGGUUAGAGAUUGACUAGACAUAGUGCCACUGUCAUCCCUGCUGGAGAAGGUCCGAAGCACCUCCACCUCUGUGCUUCCAGAGGGGCACUGUGGUGGCCACUUAAAAUGCUCAGGCUAUACCAUGCACUAGAGCAUCUACCUGGGCAAGGGAUAUGCUGUAUGACACUCUCCUGAUGCUGGGCAUGGCUGUGAGCCAAAGCACCCAGGCAGCCCUGCCAUCAGAAGGGUAAACCACGGACACCUGAUGCCUUCCUGAAGGAAGAGCACUACGCCUGCCAAACCAUCAAGCGUUGAUGCUCCAGCGCCUUCUACCCGUGGUUCUCCAGCCUCAGCAGAAGAGAGAGAAAUUGAUGACCCUGUCGUUGUAGCAUCCCCAUCACCCAGCAAUUAAUUUUAGUUCAAUGCUUCAAACGCUCUUCAGGCGCAGUGUGCGUUCAGCUGUGUCAGCUAAUGCAAAUGGGGGAUCUCAGAAGUCUUAAUGAAGUAACUAUCCCUGAACACUGGGAUCAAUACUCAGCAUCCAGCUGUCAAAUCAACACCAAGCGUUUCACUCGUCGCCCAGCCUAGAGUGCAAUGGCGCUAUUUCGGCUCAUUAUAACCUCCGCCUCCCGGGUUCAAGCAAUUCUUCUGCUUCAGCGUCCCAAGUAGCUGGGAUUACAGAAUGUCCAGUGCUAGGAGACUCAUAAGUUGGAGAGAAACGGCCUGAUUUAUAGAAACUGAGCGAGACUCCGGACCACCUGAUGCAGAGAAACCUGUGACCUGAAAAAGUCUAUUUGUGUUUCCUCUAGGAAUCUCGGCCAAGAAGACAGGGACAAGCUCCCAACUCUGACUACCCCUUUUACAGGGAAAAAAAAAAAAUCCCGUGCCUUCUUUGCAGCAAGUGACAAAUCCUUGUCAUAUCGAGAUGGCUUUUCCUCCUCCUCUUCAAACAUCUUUUAGCAGCAACAGCAGCUCAAGUAACUGGAAUUAUUUCAGAGUUAAAAUGCAGGCUUUGUAGACCCUCUUAGACAGACAGAUUCAAUUUCAAAGGAAACUUCUUUGGCUGGGUACUCAGUGAGUGUUACACAGGGAUUUGGGGAGUUAAUAUUCACUGUUUCUGUUGUUGGAGAAAAGGAAAGCAGAGUUGCUCUUUCUCAUUACUCUCCCCAACGCACAUCUGUUUCCUCUCGUAUCUUGGAAUUAGGAAGAUGGAGGAGACUUAAGUGGUGACCCACCUAGCCUCCUGAUGCAUGCUGGGCUCACUUUAAAACUCCCAAAACAGAUGGCAGUUGAUCACGGUUUUAAAGAUCCCAGCAUAGACUUUCUGCAGCCUCCCUUGUUAGCCACUAUCAGCGCUUAACAUUCUGUCAUCUGAAUAACUCCUUAAAAAUGAUAGCAAUGGUAGUAGAAAUUUAAAAGGAACCUCCCAAAAAACAUGCAAAAGCUUACCACCCCAGUAAAUCACCCGCAACAAUGUCGCAACAGUUUAAAUUUACUGCAGAGAGAGCUGAAGUUUAGGAGACACAGCUUUAUAAUAUUUUUGAGAGAUAGUUGAGUGCAAAUGAGUCCUGUUCCUCUUGCAUCAGGGCCUGCUCCACUGAGUCAUCCUGCCUUCAGAAGCUUCCAGCUAAGUGGCAGGCCCCGGCCAUAGGCUCCCUGUGUCCCCAGCCUCCAGAGAACACACAAUGUUCUCAUCGCCCUUAGCUCCAUUCCAGAAGGGGCCUGCAGUUCUGCAGCUUAUCAGGGGUCUACUGGGAAGUGAGAUGUCACUGUCCCUUUCUGGCCCUGCAUUGUCUGUGAGUGGCUCUCCUGGAUUAAGAGUUGGCAAAGUAUGGCCAGUGGCCAGGACUGGCCUGCUGCCUGUUUUUGUUUAACCCGUGAGCUAAGAAUAGUUUUUACCUAUUUUAAGUAGUUGAAAAAAAAAUCAAGAGAAGAAUACUAUUUCGUGAUAUGUGAAAAAUCACAUGAAAUUCAAAUGUAAGUGUCCAUAAAUAAAGUCUUACUGGAAGACAGCCUUGCUCAUUUAUUUCUGUCUCAUUCGCUACUGUCUGCGGCUGCCUUCACGCUACAAUGGCAGUACUGAGUAGUUGUGACGGGCACUGUAUGACAGCAAAUCCUAAAGUAUUUGCCAUCUGGCCCUUCACAGAAAAAGUUUGCUGACCCUGGCUUUCGAGCCUCUCAUCACUUUGGGAUUCAUCUCUUUACUUUCCCCAGAGUGAGGGAGGCAGUAACGUUCCUCGUGAGUGCUUAGUCCUUGCUCCCAAGGCAAUAAACCCCCCAAAACCCCUCUCUUUCUGCAGUCUUCUUGUUGGCUUGAUAGUGGUAGGGCUGGUUCAGCCAAGGUCACAGUUGGAGGGCAGGAAGGGGGUACAGCGAAGGACGACGGGGGUGUCUUCUCUAGUCCUGUUUGCAGCAAUCUUUAGAAUGCAAAAUAAUUAAGAAGAAACUGCUGUUUUUUGGCUGUGGGAUGCAAUUCGAAUUCUGGAAAAUUAGAAUCAACAGAACGUGGGAUGUGGGAGUCCAGGACAACUCCCCUGUUUUGGCUGUGUUUGGUGCCAUGUGUGGAGGUGGGAGAGAUGGGAGAAAGAAGAGGUUUGGGCAGGGGGAGGGAAGAAUCAAGAUUCUGCUUUGAAUGGACGAAGGUUGUGGUUUGUUGAGAGGACAACUAGAUAACUGGCCACUUGAAGAUGGGAUGGAAGUCUGAAUCUGCAAGGAGUCACAGAUGAAUGGUAUGGAAAGCUGUGGUAGUGGAUGAGAUCAUACGAACGGUGGGUGCAGAUGGAAACGAGAAGCCAUCUAAGGACUCGUAAUGGGCUCCUCAACACUUGGAAGUUGGGUAGAGGAAGAAGACCGCAUGAGGGCAGGAUCCUGAAUGUUCCACUCACUGCUAUAUCCCUA
rnacentral:lncRNA from 1 species